rnacentral:rRNA from 2 species
GCAUAUCAAUAAGCGGAGGAAAAGAAAAUAACAAUGAUUUCCCCAGUAACGGCGAGUGAAGAGGAAAGAGCUCAAAGUUGGAACCUGCUUGGCUUAGCCAAGCCGGAUUGUAAACUGUAGAAGUGUUUUCCUGACACGCCAGGCAAAAAAGUCCUUUGGAACAGGGCAUCAUAGAGGGUGAGAAUCCCGUCUUUGGCCUGAGCAGUUGUCUUUUGCGAUACACUUUCAAAGAGUCAGGUUGUUUGGGAAUGCAGCCUAAAUUGGGUGGUAAAUCUCACCUAAAGCUAAAUAUUGGCGAGAGACCGAUAGCGAACAAGUACCGUGAGGGAAAGAUGAAAAGAACUUUGAAAAGAGAGUUAAACAGUAUGUGAAAUUGUUAAAAGGGAACCGUUUGGAGCCAGACUGGCUUGGCUGUAAUCAAUCUGGGCUUUUGCCCGGAUGCACUUGCGGCCUAUGCCUGCCAACGACAGUUUUAUUUGGGGGAAAAAACCAGGCGGAAUGUGGCCCCUUAGGGGGUGUUAUAGCCUCUUGGAAAAUACCCUGGAUUGGACUGAGGAUCGCAGCGAAUGCCAUUAGGCGAGAUUGCGGCGUGCUUUCGCUGAUAAAUGCUAGAAUUUCUGCUUCGGGUGGUGCUAGUGUUUAAAGGUGGAACCCGCGCUGUAUAUUUUUUAUUCGCUUAGGUUGUUGGCUUAAUGACUCUAAAUGACCCGUCUUGAAACACGGACC